ACCGCUUCCGUCUCACCUACCUGAGGUAAUAGACCAACUGGCCGUUCGGCUAGCAAGGACAUCGCUAGACCAGAAUGUCGUUGAUUCUCUGCAGAGAUUCCAGCGUGCGGCGAACUAUAUUGCUGCCGCUAUGAUAUUCCUGCAGGACAAUGCAUGCCUAAAGCGAGAGUUGAAAUUUGACGAUAUUAAACCGAGAUUAUUGGGCCAUUGGGGAACCUGCCCAGGGCUGACCUUCGUCUAUUCCCACCUGAAUUACUUGAUUUGCAAGCAUGACCUUGACAUGAUAUAUGUUGUGGGACCGGGUCAUGGCGCACCAGGAAUCCUAGCUGCGCUCUGGAUGGAAGGUUCUCUGGAGAAAUUCUAUCCAGGAUAU
rnacentral:sRNA from 2 species